GCGACCCCAGGUCAGGCGGGGCUACCCGCUGAGUUUAAGCAUAUCAAUAAA
rnacentral:rRNA from 3 species